rnacentral:rRNA from 1 species
AGUUCUCGUUGAUGAUCGGUGCUUGCACCGAGAUUCAACAUCGGAACGAGUGGCGGACGGGUGAGUAACACGUGGGUAACCUGCCCUUAAGUGGGGGAUAACAUUUGGAAACAGAUGCUAAUACCGCAUAGAUCCAAGAACCGCAUGGUUCUUGGCUGAAAGAUGGCGUAAGCUAUCGCUUUUGGAUGGACCCGCGGCGUAUUAGCUAGUUGGUGAGGUAAUGGCUCACCAAGGCGAUGAUACGUAGCCGAACUGAGAGGUUGAUCGGCCACAUUGGGACUGAGACACGGCCCAAACUCCUACGGGAGGCAGCAGUAGGGAAUCUUCCACAAUGGACGCAAGUCUGAUGGAGCAACGCCGCGUGAGUGAAGAAGGCUUUCGGGUCGUAAAACUCUGUUGUUGGAGAAGAAUGGUCGGCAGAGUAACUGUUGUCGGCGUGACGGUAUCCAACCACAAAGCCACGGCUAACUACGUGCCAGCAGCCGCGGUAAUACGUAGGUGGCAAGCGUUAUCCGGAUUUAUUGGGCGUAAAGCGAGCGCAGGCGGUUUUUUAAGUCUGAUGUGAAAGCCCUCGGCUUAACCGAGGAAGCGCAUCGGAAACUGGCAAACUUGAGUGCAGAAGAGGACAGUGGAACUCCAUGUGUAGCGGUGAAAUGCGUAGAUAUAUGGAAGAACACCAGUGGCGAAGGCGGCUGUCUGGUCUGUAACUGACGCUGAGGCUCGAAAGCAUGGGUAGCGAACAGGAUUAGAUACCCUGGUAGUCCAUGCCGUAAACGAUGAAUGCUA